GCCCAGACUCCUACGGGAGGCAGCAGUGGGGAAUAUUGCACAAUGGGCGCAAGCCUGAUGCAGCGACGCCGCGUGGGGGAUGACGGCCUUCGGGUUGUAAACCUCUUUCGCUAGGGACGAAGCUUUUUGUGACGGUACCUAGAUAAGAAGCACCGGCUAACUACGUGCCAGCAGCCGCGGUAAUACGUAGGGUGCGAGCGUUGUCCGGAAUUACUGGGCGUAAAGAGCUCGUAGGUGGUUUGUCGCGUCGU
rnacentral:rRNA from 1 species